rnacentral:rRNA from 1 species
AUUGAACGCUGGCGGCAGGCCUAACACAUGCAAGUCGAGCGAGAAAGGUCUUCGGACUGAGUACAGCGGCGGACGGGUGAGUAAUGCGCAGGAAUCUACCUGGUAGUGGGGGAUAACUCGGGGAAACUCGAACUAAUACCGCAUACGCCCUACGGGGAAAGCGGGGGACCGUUCGGGCCUCGCGCUAUCAGAUGAGCCUGCGUAGGAUUAGCUUGUUGGUGAGGUAAAGGCUCACCAAGGCGACGAUCCUUAGCUGGUCUGAGAGGAUGAUCAGCCACACUGGAACUGAGACACGGUCCAGACUCCUACGGGAGGCAGCAGUGGGGAAUAUUGCGCAAUGGGCGAAAGCCUGACGCAGCCAUGCCGCGUGUGUGAAGAAGGCCCUUGGGUUGUAAAGCACUUUCAAUUGGGAAGAAAGGUUGCGUGUUAAUAGCACGUAGCUGUGACGUUACCUUUAGAAGAAGCACCGGCUAACUCCGUGCCAGCAGCCGCGGUAA